GGUCCCGUGGUGUAAUGGUUAUCACUCAGGACUUUGAAUCCUGCGAUCCGAGUUCGAUUCUCGGCGGGACCU